rnacentral:snRNA from 1 species
GUGCUCGCUUCGGCAGCACAUAUACUAAAAUUGGAAUGAUACAGAGAAGAUUAGCAUGGCCCCUGCACAAAGAAAAUAUCCAUAGCAAAGUGAGUCUGGGACUCCUAUGUAUUU